rnacentral:rRNA from 1 species
AUUGUACGCUGGCGGCAGGCCUAACACAUGCAAGUCGAGCGAGCGGCGGACGGGUGAGUAAUGUCUGGGAAACUGCCUGAUGGAGGGGGAUAACUACUGGAAACGGUAGCUAAUACCGCAUACCAUCAGAUGUGCCCAGAUGGGAUUAGCUAGUAGGUGGGGUAACGGCUCACCUUGGCGACGAUCCCUAGCUGGUCUGAGAGGAUGACCAGCCACAAUGGAAUCGAGACACGGUCCAGACUCGUACGGGAGGAAGCAGUGGGGAAUAAUGCACAAUGGGCGCAAGCCUGAUGCAGCCAUGCCGCGUGUGUGAAGAAGGCCUUCGGGUUGUAAAGCACUUUCAGCGGGGAGGCGUUACCCGCAGAAGAAGCACCGGCUAACUCCGUGCCAGCAGCCGCGGUAAUAC